GGCUAAGAGAUCUUGUCCAUGUUGUUGGAAAGCAAAGGCUUGUGCUAGAUCUUAGCUGCAGAAAGAAGGAAGGUAGAUAUGCAAUUGUAACUGAUAGAUGGCAGAAGUUCAGUGAUGUAUAUCUUGAUGAGGAAGUAUUGGAAUUUCUUGCCAACUAUGCAGAUGAGUUCUUAGUUCAUGGUGUUGAUGUUGAAGGGAAAAAGCUGGGAAUUGAUGAAGAGCUUGUGGAAUUGCUUGGCAGGCACUCACCGAUUCCCGUGACCUACGCAGGUGGUGUGACGGUCAUGAAUGAUUUAGAGAGGAUAAAGACAGCAGGGAAGGGAUGUGUUGAUGUUACUGUGGGCAGUGCUCUUGAUAUCUUUGGAGGGG
rnacentral:misc_RNA from 1 species